rnacentral:lncRNA from 1 species
AGUACUAGUUCUUUUGCAGCACCGAAACUUUAUUUAUAACAAUUUGGGGCCUCACCGGUGAUUACAUUAUCCUCCGGGGGCGGUCUCUGGUUCUCUCUUCUGAGGAGACAUGCCCCGCCCCCUUGUGGCGGCCUCGGGGGUGAGAACUCAAGACCCACUCAGUGCGAGGAAUAACCGCAGCUCUCAGCAACGCGCAGGGGAGGGGCUGGGGGGAGGGACUGGCCAGCAACCUAGCUUAAAGGAUCCUCAUAGACUGCAGCGACGAUUCUGUGCACAGACUAAGGAAGGAGAAGCUGCAGGAACCGAGUCUUGCUCUGUCACCCAGGCUGGAGUACAGGCACUAUCUCGGCUCACUGCAACUCCUGCUUCCCAGGCUCAAGCAAUUCUCCUGCCUCAGCCUCCUGAGUAGCUGGGAUUACAGUGGAUGCUCCCACACCAGGAAAACAAGCUUAUGUUACUAUAGAAGAAUGAGAGAUCACCUGGGCAAAUAUAAGACAUUUUAGAUGAUCCAUAAUAGAAUUACUAACCUCCAGUCUGUCUGCCAGCUCCACAAAGACACAAGAGCAAACCCAGAAAUUCUGAGAACCUUCCUUGAAAUCAUUGAACAGCAAAUGAACAAGCUGUUGCCAACCUGGGGUAGAAGACAGCAGAAUUCCAGCAAGUUUCCUGAAUGGAUUCCCAUUCACUGCUCUUGUUAAGCUGUGGAAUCCAUGUGGCCAGACCUAUGAUUGCUGUUUUUCUUCUCUUUGGCCAGGACUUGGGAGAGCUCUGUUCUAGAAGCUGAGAAGUCCAACAUCAAGGCACAGGCAGGUGGCAGGUUUGAUUGUCUGGUGAAGGCUGCCCUCUGCUUCCAAGAUGGACCCUUGUUGUUGCAUUUUCUGGAAAAAAGGAACACUGUGUUCUCAGAUGGCUGAAAGCAGAAGGAACCUCAGGCCAAGUGUUCUUGACAGCUCAUCCACAGACUCCCACUGGUAAAGCAGCAUGAGGAUGGCUUCUGUUAUUUUAUUUCAGAAUUUUUUCCUGCAGUGGCAUGCCAGUACCAGCUGAGGAUCAUGUAUGCAAUAUUUGCCUUCUUUCAUCUUCUACCUAGGAUGGCUUUAAUUCUCUUCGAGGAGAAUUUAUUUUAGUUUUUCCCAGUAAGAGAAUCCACUUCUCUUGCCCAUAUUCAUAAAUUAUCAUUAAAAAUUAAACUUGGUACAAUAAAUAUUAACAUGGUUCCAGCUUCUCCAUUGUUAUGCUCAGAAUUCAGUUCAUUGGCAGGAUCUAGGCAUAGGAUCAGUCCAAAGUUGGGCCAAGGCACAAGGAAGGUUUGCACAAGUUUAGAGCAUCAUUGAGAAUCCAUAUGGCAUCAAAUUCUGACCAUCAGAACCAAUCAUUUUAGUCAAAUUGCUGAGACACAAAUUAAGUCCAGGAAUCGGUAG